rnacentral:rRNA from 1 species
GGUGAGUAACACGUGGAUAAUCUGCCUCCAGGAUUGGGAUAACUACUCGAAAGGGUGGCUAAUACCGAAUAACAUGGCACGCUACACAAGUAGUAGCCAUUAAAGGUGGGGACCGCAAGGCCUACCACCUGGAGAUGAGUCCGCGGACCAUUAGCUAGUUGGCGGGGUAAUGGCCCACCAAGGCGACGAUGGGUAGCCGGCCUGAGAGGGUGACCGUUCACAUUGGGACUGAGAUACGGCCCAGACUCCUACGGGAGGCAGCAGUUAAGAAUCUUGCGCAAUGGGGGAAACCCUGACGCAGCGACGCCGCGUGGACGAUGAAGGCCUUCGGGUUGUAAAGUCCGAUAAGCAGGGAAGAAUAAGCAACGGGUAAUAUUCGUUGUGAUGACGGUACCUGCCUAAAGCCCCGGCUAACUACGUGCCAGCAGCCGCGGUAAUACGUAUGGGGCUAGCGUUGUUCGGAAUUAUUGGGCGUAAAGGGCGUCUAGGCGGGGGAUCAAGUUGGGUGUGAAAUCCCUGGGCUCAACCCAGGAACUGCAUCCAAAACUGG